UCCCCUUUUCAAACAUGUUUGAUAGGUAUCCCGUCUCCUAUUUCCGAAGGUGAUUUUAAGGGAUAUGUUUCUGAUACAAAUUGCUCCACUGUGGGAACUGACCGGUUAGUCUCGUCAGCCAGCAUUACCGGUGGCCCUGACAACAGCACCACCCUCACUUAUCGAAAAGUUUCAUGCUUGCUGUCAAAGCUGAAUGUCUCUAUGUGGGAUGAGCCACCGGAACUACAGCUGCUAGGUUCCCAGUCUCUCCCUAACGUUACUAACAUUACUCAGGUCUCUGGCGUGGCCGGGGGAUGUGUAUAUUUCGCCCCAAGGGCCACUGGCCUGUUUUUAGGUUGGUCUAAACAAGGUCUCUCGCGGUUCCUCCUCCGUCACCCCUUUACCUCCACCUCUAACUCCACGGAACCGUUCACGGUGGUGACAGCGGAUAGACACAAUCUUUUUAUGGGGAGUGAGUACUGUGGUGCAUAUGGCUACAGAUUUUGGGAAAUAUAUAACUGCUCACAGACUAGGAAUACUUACCGCUGUGGAGACGUGGGAGGUACUGGCCUCCCUGAAACCUGGUGCAGAGGAAAAGGAGGUAUAUGGGUUAAUCAAUCAAAGGAAAUUAAUGAGACAGAGCCGUUCAGCUUUACUGCGAACUGUACAGCUAGUAAUUUGGGUAAUGUCAGCGGAUGUUGUGGAAAAACGACCACGAUUCUCCCAUCAGGGGCGUGGAUCGACAGCACACAAGGUAGUUUCACUAAACCAAAAGCGCUACCACCCGCAAUUUUCCUCAUUUGUGGGGAUCGCGCAUGGCAAGGAAUUCCCAGUCGUCCGGUAGGGGGCCCCUGCUAUUUAGGCAAGCUUACCAUGUUAGCACCCAACCAUACAGAUAUUCUCAAAAUACUUGCUAAUUCGUCGCGGACAGGUAUAAGACGUAAACGAAGCGUCUCACACCUGGAUGAUACAUGCUCAGAUGAAGUGCAGCUUUGGGGUCCUACAGCAAGAAUCUUUGCAUCUAUCUUAGCCCCGGGGGUAGCAGCUGCGCAAGCCUUAAGAGAAAUUGAGAGACUAGCCUGUUGGUCCGUUAAACAGGCUAACUUGACAACAUCACUCCUCGGGGACUUAUUGGAUGAUGUCACGAGUAUUCGACACGCGGUCCUGCAGAACCGAGCGGCUAUUGACUUCUUGCUUCUAGCUCACGGCCAUGGCUGUGAGGACGUUGCCGGAAUGUGUUGUUUCAAUCUGAGUGAUCACAGUGAAUCUAUACAGAAGAAGUUCCAGCUAAUGAAGAAACAUGUCAAUAAGAUCGGCGUGGACAGCGACCCAAUCGGAAGUUGGCUGCGAGGGAUAUUCGGGGGAAUAGGGGAAUGGGCCGUUCAUCUGCUAAAAGGACUGCUUUUGGGGCUUGUAGUUAUUUUAUUGCUAGUAGUGUGCCUGCCCUGCCUUUUACAAUUUGUGUCUAGUAGUAUUCGAAAGAUGAUUAAUAGUUCAAUCAACUAUCAUACUGAAUACAGGAAGAUGCAGGGCGGAGCAGUC
rnacentral:misc_RNA from 1 species